GGGGGGCACCCUAAAGCACAAACACACGCCACGUGUAUAUGUGUAUGUGUGUAUAUAUAUAUAUAUAUAUAUAUAUAUAUAUAUAUAUAUAUAUACACUGCUGUGUGAUGUCUGUGUGUGAGGGUGCUGGUA